GAUUUCUGGUUCGAUGCGUUUGGCCCUCUCGGCGCAAUCCGGCGUGCGUGCCGAUGCGCGUCUGCCAUCCCUUGUAGAGCACGUUUCUACCCUUCACUGGGCCGGAUUCGCAAUCUACAUCUUUUACUUUGAAAAAAUUAGAGUGUUUAAAGCAGGCUAUUGCUAUGAAUACAUUAGCAUGGAAUAAUAAUCUAGGACUUCGGUUCUAUUUUGUUGGUUUCUAUAACUGAAGUAAUGAUUGAUAGGGAUAGUUGGGGGUGCUAGUAUUCAGUGGCCAGAGGUGAAAUUCUCGGAUUCACUGAAGACUAACUUAUGCGAAAGCAUU
rnacentral:rRNA from 1 species